AUUGAACGCUGGCGGCAUGCCUAACACAUGCAAGUCGCACGCGAAAGGGGGCAACCCUGAGUAGAGUGGCGGACGGGUGAGUAACGCGUAGGAAUCUACCUGGUAGUGGGGGACAACCCGGUGGAAACCGGGCUAAUACCGCAUACGAUCCACGGAUGAAAGCAGGGGACCGCAAGGCCUUGCGCUAUCAGAUGAGCCUGCGUCGGAUUAGCUAGUUGGUGGGGUAAAGGCCCACCAAGGCGACGAUCCGUAGCUGGUUUGAGAGAACGACCAGCCACACUGGGACUGAGACACGGCCCAGACUCCUACGGGAGGCAGCAGUGGGGAAUAUUGGACAAUGGGGGCAACCCUGAUCCAGCAAUGCCGCGUGUGUGAAGAAGGCCUUCGGGUUGUAAAGCACUUUCGGUGGGGACAAACAAGGUGGAGCUAACAUCUCCGCCUCUGAUGGUACCCAAAGAAGAAGCACCGGCUAACUCUGUGCCAGCAGCCGCCGUAA
rnacentral:rRNA from 1 species